CGAUAGGGCUGUACAGGCAUGGGGGUAGGUAUAAAAGGCGGAGACGUAUGAGGUGGGCCCCCCAUAAAUGGCCUAGCUGGACCUCUCUGUGGCUGCAUGCGUGCAUCCCUAUUCCCCCAACUUCUUCUGUUUUCUACUCUGUUUUGUUUAUGCCUUUUUCUUCAUCAAACAAUCCCAAAAAUUCUCAGAAACAAAAUAAGAAAAUUAUAGCAUAUGGCAAGUUGUAACAUGGCUUCUGCUGCAUCAAGGUUUUUGGUGGCAACUCCUAAUGUUGCCUCCAACACCACUUCUCGUACUAAUAUGUUAUUUUUUCCCUCCAACAAGAUCACCACCACCCAGAGACUCGUCGUAAGGGCGGCCGCAGAAGAGGCUGCCGCACCAGCCGCGGCCGCUACUGCUGAACCAGCCGUUGAAACCAAAGCUGCUAAGCCACCUCCAAUUGGACCCAAGAGGGGAUCCAAGGUGAGAGUUCUUAGGAAGGAAUCUUACUGGUACAAGGGCACCGGUUCAGUUGUAGCUGUUGAUCAGGAUCCAAAAACUCGUUACCCAGUUGUUGUACGAUUUAACAAAGUGAAUUAUGCUAAUGUUUCAACCAACAACUAUGCAUUGGAUGAAAUUGAAGAAGUGUGAAAUGAGAACGUAUGCCCUCAAUUGGAAUAAGUAUAUUAUUUGUAGAAUGCAAGGCCCUUUGUUUUUUUCAUGUUUAUUCUCUAGUUAUAUACAGGCUUUGAAUGUGAAUGAGUGUCUUAUUAUAUUUUUUGUGGCAUUACUCAAACUCUAUUCUUUCUAAUAAGAUGCGGAGACGAAUUCAAAA
rnacentral:misc_RNA from 1 species